rnacentral:rRNA from 1 species
AUUGAACGCUGGCGGCAGGCCUAACACAUGCAAGUCGAGCGGAUGAAGGGAGCUUGCUCCUGGAUUCAGCGGCGGACGGGUGAGUAAUGCCUAGGAAUCUGCCUGGUAGUGGGGGAUAACGUCCGGAAACGGGCGCUAAUACCGCAUACGUCCUGAGGGAGAAAGUGGGGGAUCUUCGGACCUCACGCUAUCAGAUGAGCCUAGGUCGGAUUAGCUAGUUGGUGGGGUAAAGGCCUACCAAGCCGACGAUCCGUAACUGGUCUGAGAGGAUGAUCAGUCACACUGGAACUGAGACACGGACCAGACUCCUACGGGAGGCAGCAGUGGGGAAUAUUGGACAAUGGGCGAAAGCCUGAUCCAGCCAUGCCGCGUGUGUGAAGAAGGUCUUCGGAUUGUAAAGCACUUUAAGUUGGGAGGAAGGGCAGUAAGUUAAUACCUUGCUGUUUUGACGUUACCAACAGAAUAAGCACCGGCUAACUUCGUG